rnacentral:rRNA from 1 species
GAAGCGGCAAAAGCUCAAAUUUGAAAUCUGGCGCCUUUGGCGUUCGAGUUGUAAUUUGGAGGGGCAUCUUCGGAGGUGGCGCCGUCCUAAGUUCCUUGGAACAGGACGUCAUAGAGGGUGAGAAUCCCGUGCCUGGAUGGCUGUCCAUCUCCAUGUGAAGUGUCUCCGACGAGUCGAGUUGUUUGGGAAUGCAGCUCAAAAUGGGAGGUAAAUUUCUUCUAAAGCUAAAUAUUGGCGAGAGACCGAUAGCGCACAAGUAGAGUGAUCGAAAGAUGAAAAGCACUUUGAAAAGAGAGUUAAAAAGUACGUGAAAUUGUUGAAAGGGAAGCGCUUGAGAUCAGACUCGAUCUUUGGUGAUCACCCCGGCUUCUGUCGGGUGCACUUGCCAUCGAUUGGGCCAGCAUCGGUUCUUGCGGCGGGAUAAAAGGCAGGGGAAUGUGGCUCCCUCCGGGGAGUGUUAUAGCCCCAGUCACAAUGCCGCCUGCGGGGACCGAGGACCGCGCUUCGGCUAGGAUGCUGGCGUAAUGGUCUUAAGCGGCCCGUCUUGAAACACGGACCAAGGAGUCUAACAUCUAUGCGAGUGUUCGGGUGGAAAACCCUUGCGCGUAAUGAAAGUGAACGGAGGUGGGAACCCCUCGGGGUGCACCAUCGACCGAUCCUGAUGUCUUCGGAAGGAUUUGAGUAAGAGCAUAGCUGUUGGGACCCGAAAGAUGGUGAACUAUGCCUGAAUAGGGUGAAGCCAGAGGAAACUCUGGUGGAGGCUCGCAGCGGUUCUGACGUGCAAAUCGAUCGUCAAAUUUGGGUAUAGGGGCGAAAG